rnacentral:piRNA from 1 species
UGGACUGGUGAACAUGAUGUGCCA